AGAGUUUGAUCAUGGCUCAGGACGAACGCUGGCGGCGUGCUUAACACAUGCAAGUCGAGCGGAAAGGCCCUUCGGGGUACUCGAGCGGCGAACGGGUGAGUAACACGUGAGCAACCUGCCCUUAGCUCCGGGAUAGCUCCGGGAAACCGGAAUUAAUACCGGAUACGACCACGAUCGACAUCGGCCGUGGUGGAAAGGAUUUCCGGCUAAGGAUGGGCUCGCGGCCUAUCAGCUAGUUGGUGGGGUAAUGGCCCACCAAGGCGACGACGGGUAGCCGGCCUGAGAGGGCGACCGGCCACACUGGGACUGAGACACGGCCCAGACUCCUACGGGAGGCAGCAGUGGGGAAUAUUGCGCAAUGGGCGAAAGCCUGACGCAGCGACGCCGCGUGGGGGAUGAAGGCCUUCGGGUUGUAAACCCCUUUCAGCAGGGACGAAGCGCAAGUGACGGUACCUGCAGAAGAAGCGCCGGCUAACUACGUGCCAGCAGCCGCGGUAAUACGUAGGGCGCAAGCGUUGUCCGGAAUUAUUGGGCGUAAAGAGCUCGUAAGCGGUCUGUUACGUCCGCUGUGAAAACCCAGGGCUUAACCCUGGGCUUGCAGUGGAUACGGGUAGACUAGAGGCAGGUAGGGGAGAAUGGAAUUCCCGGUGUAGCGGUGAAAUGCGCAGAUAUCGGGAGGAACACCGGUGGCGAAGGCGGUUCUCUGGGCCUGACCUGACGCUGAGGAGCGAAAGCGUGGGGAGCGAACAGGAUUAGAUACCCUAGUAGUCC
rnacentral:rRNA from 1 species